AACACGUGUGCAACCUGCCUUUAUCUGGGGGAUAGCCUUUCGAAAGGAAGAUUAAUACCCCAUAAUAUAUUGAGUGGCAUCACUUGAUAUUGAAAACUCCGGUGGAUAGAGAUGGGCACGCGCAAGAUUAGAUAGUUGGUGAGGUAACGGCUCACCAAGUCAAUGAUCUUUAGGGGGCCUGAGAGGGUGAUCCCCCACACUGGUACUGAGACACGGACCAGACUCCUACGGGAGGCAGCAGUGAGGAAUAUUGGACAAUGGGUGAGAGCCUGAUCCAGCCAUCCCGCGUGAAGGACGACUGCCCUAUGGGUUGUAAACUUCUUUUAUACUGGGAUAAACCUACCCUCGUGAGGGUAGCUGAAGGUACAGUAUGAAUAAGCAUCGGCUAACUCCGUGCCAGCAGCCGCGGUAAUACGGAGGAUGCGAGCGUUAUCCGGAAUCAUUGGGUUUAAAGGGUCCGUAGGCGGCCUUAUAAGUCAGUGGUGAAAUCUCCUAGCUCAACUAGGAAACUGCCAUUGAUACUGUAGGGCUUGAAUUAUUGGGAAGUAACUAGAAUAUGUAGUGUAGCGGUGAAAUGCUUAGAUAUUACAUGG
rnacentral:rRNA from 1 species